rnacentral:rRNA from 1 species
GCUUGACUGUAGCUUGUAAUUGGGUUCGGGCUUUUUUUGCGCAGCCUAGGUGGGAGGCAACGAUGAUUUUUUUCCGGAAAAUUUAAGCCGUUAGUGAGAGACCACUCUGAAAAGGCUAGAAUCCUAAUAAUGAUCCUUGAAUCAGGACAUUUGACAGUUGCAGGUGGGCAGUUUUACUGGGGCGGUAUUCUCCUAAAAAGUAACGGAGGGGUGCAAAGGUUCCCUCAAGCUGGACGGAAAUCAGCUUAAGAGUGUAAAGGCAAAAGGGAGCUUGACUGCAAGACCUACAAGUCGAGCAGGGGCGAAAGCCGGCCUUAGUGAUCCGACGGUACCACGUGGAAGGGCCGUCGCUCAACGGAUAAAAGUUA